rnacentral:rRNA from 1 species
CCUACGGGAGGCAGCAGUGAGGAAUAUUGGGCAAUGGACGAGAGUCUGAACCAGCCACGUCGCGUGAAGGAUGAAUGCCCUAUGGUUUGUAACCUUCUUUUAUAUGGGAAUAAAACAGGGUAUGCAUACCCUCUUGUAUGUACCAUAUGAAUAUGGAUCGGCUAACUCCGUGCCAGCAGCCGCGGUAAUACGGAGGAUCCGAGCGUUGUCCGGAUUUAUUGGGGUUAAAGGGAGCGUAGGUGGAAUGUUAAGUCAGUUGUGAAAGUUUGGGGCUCAACCUUAAACGUGCAGUUGAAACUGGCAUUCUUGAGUACAGUAGAGGUGGGCGGAAUUCGUGGUGUAGCGGUGAAAUGCUUAGAUAUCACGAAGAACUCCGAUUGCGAAGGCAGCUCACUGGACUGCAACUGACACUGAUGCUCGAAAGUGUGGGUAUCAAACAGGAUUAGAUACCCUUGUAGUC